AUUUCUCCUGUGCAUGUUUUUAGAAGAAUAUAAAAAGAAGAAUGUAAAAGGUGGUGUGAUAUGUCACCUCGUCGAGGUAGGAUGCUGGGAGGAUCCCAUAGUUUAGGCCAUGAGGAGGCAAACUCUGAGUGCCUAGGCAUGGGAGUACAGGCUAACGAGGUAGGAUGCUGGGAGGAUCCCAUAGUUUAGGCCAUGAGGAGGCAAACUCUGAGUGCCUAGGCAUGGGAGUACAGUGGUACAGUAUGGCUCCAGCUUAGUGAAUCCAAUGACACACUGGGCAUCAAGGGUAGUUCAGGAGGGAAGGACUUAGGAAAAGGUCUGCUAGAGGAUUCAUAGACAGUAGCUCAAAGCAUAGUGGUAAGAUUGUUCUUUAUUACACACUAGAGAGAAAAGCAGAAGAAAUGAUUACUCGGGGCCCAGAAGAGGUUAGAGGUUUUCAACGCAAGGGAGAUUGUGAUACAUAAGUUACUCCAUUUGCAAGACUAAGAAAGACUAAAAUGAAGGAGCCCAGAAGGAAGGAAAGAAAAAGCACAGUGAGAAGAAUGAGGAGAGCAUUGCAUCUAGGGAGACAUGGCAAAGAACAGCGGGGGUGGGGAUGGACUCAGCAGUGCUUGCUAGGGAUAACAGGGACAGGAGUGAGCAUAGGUCAACAACUGAGCAGAUAGCAAGAUAACAACUUCUGAGUCCAUGGAUUGACUAGGAGGUGGCAGAAGUAAGGCUGGACAGUGAUUGGGAAGUGGAGGGUCUCUGGAAAACAUCAGGGAGAAGUGUAGGGGAAUGCCAUGCAAAUUUAAAUUCAUGUUUAGGGCAGAAAGAGAGGCUGAGGUUGGGCUGCUAGGGGGGAAGUAGCAGGGAGGAGUCAGUGUGCAUCAGAGAGGCUGAUAGGAAAGAGGGGUCACAUCACGUCAGGAGAAAAGUCCGUCAUCUUGUCUGGUGGUUUGGGCAAAAGGAAAUGGGCCACUCUACCAAAGGGGAAAUCUGCAUGUAAUCUCUCCAAAUGGGGACACUGGAAGCUCUCACGGGGCAAGCUGGUAGGAUGGGAAUAUCAGUGUCAAGCCUUAGGAGGAGAGAAGAGAGAUAAGCUCCAAGUGUUUCCAGAAUGGAGCCUCAGGAAAAAGUAAAGCAAAGGAGUCAAUGUGACUUGGGUUAAUUAGAAGAAACCAAAUGACACGUACUUUAUGACAGUUCCUGAACAAAUGGCUCUGGAAGGCAACCUCAGGGACAUGGGAAUGGACUCAAGUAGAAAGACUGGAGCAAGUGGGUAGGUACAGGGUGCAUGUGAAUGGUGGAGGCACAGCUGGGCACCAAUGCGAGACAGCCAUUUCGCAGUGAGCACUAAAUCUGUGUUUCUGCUGUUCAAGACGGCUGAAGGGUGUGCUGUGGAACAGAGAGACUGCAGGUGGUUAGUGGAGCCUAGAUGCAGGGGAGUCUUCUAAACUCAUCGGGUUUGUAGGGUUAGUUUGAGAAUGUAAAGAAAGUAGGUAACAAUAUUUUUGCAGGAUAGGGCUGGGUUUUGUUGUUUUAUUUUCUUGUUAAAGGACAAAAGAUGAAGAGAGAAAGGAUGAAGAUUGGUAGUAUAUGUAUGAAUAGAAGGUCUUCAGAACUGAGUGUCAAUCUUAUAAUGUAGUGGGCCCAAAGGAGAAAAAGGAAGCAAGAGUGACCUGGACUACAGGAUUGAUAGUGGGAAGGCAUCUUCCACUUAUAGUGGUGCAUUCCCACUCUUUGGAAAAAAAAUCCUGGUUCAUUAGAAACAACACAGGAAGGGACACUUGAAUGAAAGCAGUGAGCAAACUGCUGUAGACUGAGGAACUCAGUGACUAUAAUGGAAAGAGAAACACCCUCGACUGCCAUCUAAAUCAUUGAAAUAUGGAAGCAAAGGCAGCCUAAGUGCCAUUUGAAGUCAGAACCACAGGAAUAUCCAUACGAGUGACAGCCAUUGGUUGAGAAGAGAAGGGAGAGGAUGGAAAGAGGCUGAGAGUGGGUUCAGAUUAGAACAUUAUGG
rnacentral:lncRNA from 1 species